rnacentral:rRNA from 1 species
GACGAACGCUGGCGGCGUGCCUAAUACAUGUAAGUUGAGCGCUGAAGGUUGGUACUUGUACCAACUGGAUGAGCAGCGAACGGGUGAGUAACGCGUGGGGAAUCUGCCUUUGAGCGGGGGACAACAUUUGGAAACGAAUGCUAAUACCGCAUAAAAACUUUAAACACAAGUUUUAAGUUUGAAAGAUGCAAUUGCAUCACUCAAAGAUGAUCCCGCGUUGUAUUAGCUAGUUGGUGAGGUAAAGGCUCACCAAGGCGAUGAUACAUAGCCGACCUGAGAGGGUGAUCGGCCACAUUGGGACUGAGACACGGCCCAAACUCCUACGGGAGGCAGCAGUAGGGAAUCUUCGGCAAUGGACGAAAGUCUGACCGAGCAACGCCGCGUGAGUGAAGAAGGGUGUCGGAUCGUAAAACUCUGUUGGUAGAGAAGAACGUUGGUGAGAGUGGAAAGCUCAUCAAGUGACGGUAACUACACAGAAAGGGACGGCUAACUACGUG